AUCCCCUUUAGGGGAACUAAGGGGAUGAACUAAAGGGGACGAGCACUUCUUCCCCUAAAGGGGACGGAGACUUUGGUUCGUCCCCUUUAGUGUGUUCCUCCCCGAAGGGGAACUUCUUCAUCCCCUUUAGGGGAACUAAAGAAGACGGAGUCCCCUAAAGGGGAAGAAGGUUCCCCUAAAGGGGAAGAACUCCCCUACGGUUCCCCUUUAGGGGAUGAAGAAGGGGGGGGGUUCGUCCCCUUUAGUUCAUCCCCUUUAGUUCAUCCCCUUUAGGGUAACUAAAGGGGAUGAACUAAAGGGGAUGAACCAAAGGGGUUCCCCUUCGGGGAAGAAAACGAAGGGGUGCUCUUCCCCUAAAGGGGACGGAGUCCCCUAAAGGGGAAGAAGGGGUGCUCUUCCCCUAAAGGGGAAGAAGGUUCCCCUUUGGGGAAGAAAACGAAGGGGUUCAUCUUCUUCGUUAUCACCAAAGGGGAAGACGAAGGGGUGUUCCUCCCCGAAGGGGAACUUCUUCAUCCCCUUUAGGGGAACUAAAGAAGACGGAGUCCCCUUUAGUUCAUCCCCUUUAGUUCCCCUAAAGGGGAUGAACUAAAGGGGAUGAAGAAGGUUCCCCUUUGGGGAAGAAAACGAAGGGGAAGAACCAAAGGGGAAGAAAACGAAGGGGAGACGAAGGGGAAGCGCUAUGAGUUUAUUGUAGCUCUAAGAACCAAGUAAUAGCACUUUUUUUUCUUAAUUCUUCACAGCUCCUCCCGAGUUAUGUCCAACGACCUCCGUUAAGUAACAACUCAGUUGUAACGAGUUCACCGGGCUCCGCCCCUAAGGUAGUCUUAGCGUGCGUUCUGGCUUGGCUAAAAACGAAUACAUUCUACAACCAGGGGCAAAACCUCUUUCCCCGAAGGGGUGUUCCCCUUCGGGGAGACGAAGGGGGUUCCCCUUCGGGGAAGCGCUUCUUCAUCCCCUAAAGGGGAACUUUAGUGUUCGUCCCCCUAAAGGGGAACCGAAGGGGGGGAAGACUUUGGUUCCCCUUUAGGGGACAACCCUUUAG
rnacentral:lncRNA from 1 species